rnacentral:rRNA from 1 species
CAGCCGCCACGGGAAUACGAAGGGGGCUAGCGUUGUUCGGAAUUACUGGGCGUAAAGCGCACGUAGGCGGAUAUUUAAGUCAGGGGUGAAAUCCCGCAGCUCAACUGCGGAACUGCCUUUGAUACUGGGUAUCUUGAGUAUGGAAGAGGUUAGUGGAAUUGCGAGUGUAGAGGUGAAAUUCGUAGAUAUUCGCAGGAACACCAGUGGCGAAGGCGGCUAACUGGUCCAUAACUGACGCUGAGGUGCGAAAGCGUGGGGAGCAAACAGGAUUAGAUACCCCCGUAGUCCCUGUCUCUUAUAU